CGUUCAGCCUCCUCAGAGUGCGUGCUGUUGGUGUGGACUGGGCUGGGGCCACCGGAGGGGGCGGCGGGCACAGUUCAGCGGGCGCUAAAGAGCUCUCCUCGCUGCUCCCCAGGCCCCGCCGCCACGGACGCGGCUCCCUUGGCUUGUCCUCUGGCCUAGCUCCACCUCGCUUGUGGAAUCCUCCGCAGUUCUGCGUCUGGGCGCGUCCUCCUGCCUUGCUUGGCUGGAUCUGCAGGCGUCUUCCGGCGCAGCUUUGCCAGAGCGGCUAUGGCGGCGCGGGUCUGGGCGCGUCCUCAGCUGCUCAGGACGGGUCUGCUGGCGUGCUCCGAUGCCUGAGGCUUGGGGGACAGACGCAGCCGGGAUCUAGGCACGUCUCCCGUGAGAUCCCAGCCUCCAUCCAUCAUCCCAGCUUCCUCCAUCAUCCUCCAUUGUGGAGUUUCUGUCCACAGGGGAGAAACUGUUCAGCCUGGGGCCCAUCUGUCUCCUGCUUCAGAAAUUUUAAAUUUGAAGAACACAUCUCAUCCUUCCACACUGUUGGCUAUAAAAGACUAGCUGAAGUUUCCUUUGCAGCAGUUAUCAUCAUUGAACCUGUAGGAGGGGUGGCUUAAAUCAGUCAUUGACUCAAAAUGAGAAUUCUCUUCUGUUUGGAUAACAUGUGAACACAUGUGAUACCACUUCAUCCAUGAAGAAACAAUGCAGAGAGAACAUCACACUGACUGUUCUGAGAAGAAUGGACAAUAGAAAAUGAAGAAUGGAAAGAAAGAGAGGAUUCUGGGAAGACAACAACAGUGGUAGAAAAGUUGUUUAAUCACUCUAAACUGCUACAUAAAAAAAGACAGAGGGGCUUCCCUGGUGGCGCAGUGGUUGAGAGUCCGCCUGCCGAUGCGGGGGACACGGGUUCGUGCCCCAGUCCGGGAGGAUCCCACAUGCCGCGGAGCGGCUGGGCCCGUGAGCCAUGGCUGCUGAGCCUGCGCGUCCGGAGCCUGUGCUCCGCAAUGGGAGAGACCACGGCAGUGAGAGGCCCAUGUACCAUUAAAAAAAAAAAAAAAAAAGACAGAGUGGGCUUCCCUGGUGAUGCAGUGGUUAAGAAUAUGCCUGCCAAUGCAGGGGACACGGGUUUGAGCCCUGGUCCAGGAAGAUCCCACAUGCCGCCGAGCAACGAAGCCCAUGUGCCACAACUAUUGAGCCUGCGAUCCACAACUACUGAGCCCACGUGCCACAACCACUGAGGCCCACACGCCUAGAGCCCAUGCUCCGCAACAAGAGAAGCCACUGCAGUGAGAAACCGCACCACAACGAAGAGUAGCCCCCACUCGCUGCAACUAGAGAAAGCCCGCGUGCAGCAACGAAGACCCAACGCGGCCAAAAAUAAAUAAAUAAAAAUUAAAAAAUCAUAUUAGAGCUUCCCUGGUGGCUCAGUGGUUGGGGGUCUGCCUGCCGAUGCAGGGGACGCGGUUUCAUGCCCCGAUCCGUGAGGAUCCCAUGUGCCACAGAGCGGCUGGGCCCGUGAGCUAUGGCCGCUGGGCCUGUGCGUCCGGAGCCUGUGCUCCACAACAGGAGAGGCCGUGGCAGUGAGAGGCCUGUGUACUGCAAAAACAAACAAACAAACAAACAAA